UGUAAGCGUAUACCAAAGUCGUUGCAGUUAAAACGCUCGUAGUCGGAAUUUGGCAGUUCCGGAUGUGUGCACGUCGUGUGCGCACUUCGCGGGGAUUGCUUUUGUGGUCUUGCGUAGGAUGAGGCACUUUUAUUAGUGAACGUCCUCACGCAACCACUUUUUACUGUGAGAAAAUCAGAGUGCUCAAAGCAGGCAUUUGCCGUGAAUGUAUUAGCAUGGAAUAAUAGAAUAGGACUUGGUUCUAUUUUGUUGGUUUGUUGGGACUGAGUAAUGAUUAAGAGGGACAGUUGGGGGCAUUUGUAUUUCGGUGCUAGAGGUGAAAUUCUUAGAUUACCGAAAGACAAACUGCUGCGAAAGCGUCUGCCAAGGAUGUUUUCAUUGA
rnacentral:rRNA from 1 species